AGUGAACGCUGGCGGUAGGCCUAACACAUGCAAGUCGAACGGCAGCACAGUAAGAGCUUGCUCUUACGGGUGGCGAGUGGCGGAUGGGUGAGAAAUACAUCAGAAUCUACUUUUUCGUGGGGGAUAUCGUAGGGAAACUUACGCUACUACCUCAUACGACCUACGGGUGAAAGCAGGGGUUCUUCGGACCUUUGCCGUCUGAUUUAGCCGGUGUCGGGCUGCCUAGUUGGCGUGGUAAAGUCCCACCAAAGCGACGAUCCGUUGCUCGUCUUACAGGAGGAUCAGCCACACUGGAACUGGGACACGGUCCAGACUCCUACGGGAGGCAGCAGGUGGGAAUAUUGGAGAAUGGGCGCAAACCUGAUCCAGGCAUAGCGCGUUGGUGAAGGAGGCCUUCGGGUUGUAAAGCCCUUGUGUUGGGAAAGAAACGCAGCAGGUUAAUACCCCGCUGUUCUGAAGGUAACCAAAGAGUAAGCACCGGCUAACUUCGUG
rnacentral:rRNA from 1 species